AAUAGCCUAACGGCUGAACCAGCAACUUGGAAGAAUGUAUAGCUAAGCUAAAUGUUUUUUUUUACAUUUUUUGUAAGAAACAUAUUCGAUUUACUCGUAUAAAGUUCUAGGUAGAAUUAUGAUAAUGACAUUAUCUAUCUAUAAGUCUUGACCAACAUGCGUGCCAGCAGUCGCGGCAAGACGCUAAAGACUAGUGUUAUUCAUUUUAAUAGGUUUAAAGGGUACCUAGACGGUAAAUUAAGCCUUAAUCGGUACUAAUUUAACUAGAGUUAAAUGUAAGGGUGCAUUAACGUACUAUUGAGUGUAGAGAUGAAAUUCUGUCAUACCAGAUUAUUGGCACGGGUUUAGGCGAAAGCAUCACUUUAUGUAAUAACUGACGUUGAGGGACGAAGGCUUUGUAUCGCUAAAAGGAUUAGAUACCCUCGUAGUCUAAGCAGACAAUGAUGAAUGUCAUAGGUUAAAUAUUGUUUAGUCUAUAAAUGAAAGUGUAAGCAUUCCACCUCAAGAGUAAUUUGGCAACAUUGGAAUUGAAAUCAUUAGACCGUUUCUGAAACCAGUAGUGAAGUAUGUUGUUUAAUUAGAUGGUCCACAAAAAACCUUACCACAACUUGAAUAUUUUACAAGCGUUGCACGGCUGUCUUCAGUUAAUGUCGUGAGAUUUUGGUUAGUUCCAUUAAUUAACGUAAACCCUUGCUUUAUUUUUAUAUAAAGUAGUUCGCCGCUAUAUUGGUUAGAUAAAA
rnacentral:rRNA from 1 species